AAAUUGAAGAGUUUGAUCAUGGCUCAGAUUGAACGCUGGCGGCAGGCCUAACACAUGCAAGUCGAACGGUAGCACAGAGAGCUUGCUCUCGGGUGACGAGUGGCGGACGGGUGAGUAAUGUCUGGGAAACUGCCUGAUGGAGGGGGAUAACUACUGGAAACGGUGGCUAAUACCGCAUAAUGUCGCAAGACCAAAGAGGGGGACCUUCGGGCCUCUUGCCAUCAGAUGUGCCCAGAUGGGAUUAGCUAGUUGGUGAGGUAA
rnacentral:rRNA from 1 species